rnacentral:lncRNA from 1 species
GUGGGUUUUGUGAUAUUAUGUCUUCUGUUCUUCGUGUAUUGUUUUGUAAGCUAUUGUCCGUCUUUUCGGCAUUUUUUGUUUUAUUGUGUUCUGUCGGUCUUGGCUUCGCCUUAUCAGUGUUUACACUACCUUUUUUUAUUGUUUGUCUCUUUUUUUUAUUAUUCGACUUCAUAUCAUUAUUGGGUCGAUGUAAUUGUGGUUUGGGCAUUUUAAUCAAUCUGAUACCUCAACCCUUUAGAACUGGGAACUAGCACCAUAUUGUUGUAUUACCUUGAUAUUAG